GACGAACGCUGGCGGCGUGCUUAACACAUGCAAGUCGAACGCGCCUGUCCUCUGGGUUUCUGGGGGGUGGGUGAGUGGCGAACGGGUGAGUAACACGUGAGUAACCUGCCCCCUUCUUCGGGAUAACGGUCUGAAAGGGCUGCUAAUACCGGGUAUUCACUGGUCUCCGCAUGGGGUCUGGUGGAAAGGUUUUUUUCUGGUGGGGGAUGGGCUCGCGGCCUAUCAGCUUGUUGGUGGGGUGAUGGCCCACCAAGGCUUUGACGGGUAGCCGGCCUGGGAGGGUGACCGGUAACAUUGGGACUGAGAUACGGCCCAGACUCCUACGGGAGGCAGCAGUGGGGAAUAUUGCACAAUGGGCGCAAGCCUGAUGCAGCGACGCCGCGUGAGGGAUGGAGGCCUUCGGGUUGUGAACCUCUUUCGCCCGUGGUCAAGCCGCGACGUGGGUCGUGGUGAGGGUAGUGGGUAAAGAAGCGCCGGCUAACUACGUG
rnacentral:rRNA from 1 species